rnacentral:rRNA from 1 species
GACAGAGGAUGCAAGCGUUAUCCGGAAUGAUUGGGCGUAAAGCGUCUGUAGGUGGCUUUUCAAGUCCGCCGUCAAAUCCCAGGGCUCAACCCUGGACAGGCGGUGGAAACUGCCAAGCUGGAGUACGGUAGGGGCAGAGGGAAUUUCCGGUGGAGCGGUGAAAUGCGUAGAGAUCGGAAAGAACACCAACGGCGAAAGCACUCUGCUGGGCCGACACUGACGCUGAGGUGCGAAAGCUAGGGGAGCAAACGGG